UGUGCUUGUGUUUCAGUUUGAUUGCUGCGGUGUCGGUGGACCGAUUGAGAUGUUUGUGCGAGACACCUGUCCAAAAGGCAGCUUCCUGCAGCAGCUCUCGUAUUCUAGCUGUCCCAACGUGAUCAAGGACGUCUUCAACUCGAAUGCUCAGCUGGUGUUGGGAGGGUUUCUGGGGACGGCAGGAAUCAUGACGCUGGCGCUGGUGUGCAGCUGUGUGCUCAGAAGACACGUCUCAGUGUCUCGCGCGUCUCCUCCUGCAUACGUGCUCCUCACCUCCCCGCCGUCGGUCGCCAAGAUGAUAUAACCCUCUCUCUGUCUGCAUGUCAUCCGUCUGAUGGAGGGAUGAACGCUUCCGUCAGUCAAAGGUCAAGGGAAUCACACCUGUGUGUGUGUGUGUGUGUGUGUGUGUUGUGCAUCAUCUAGAACUGAACCGAAUGGCUUCAAAUCCCAACUCGCUUCUUCAAUCUAAACUGAGGCCACAAACAGGCUGCAGAAUUCUAAUUAAAGUAGAAUGAACUUCACAGAAA